GAUGAACGCUGGCGGCGUGCCUAAUACAUGCAAGUCGAGCGAACAGAUGAGGAGCUUGCUCCUCUGACGUUAGCGGCGGACGGGUGAGUAACACGUGGAUAACCUACCUAUAAGACUGGGAUAACUUCGGGAAACCGGAGCUAAUACCGGAUAAUAUAUUGAACCGCAUGGUUCAAUAGUGAAAGACGGUUUUGCUGUCACUUAUAGAUUGAUCCGCGCCGCAUUAGCUAGUUGGUAAGGUAACGGCUUACCAAGGCAACGAUGCGUAGCCGACCUGAGAGGGUGAUCGGCCACACUGGAACUGAGACACGGUCCAGACUCCUACGGGAGGCAGCAGUAGGGAAUCUUCCGCAAUGGGCGAAAGCCUGACGGAGCAACGCCGCGUGAGUGAUGAAGGUCUUCGGAUCGUAAAACUCUGUUAUUAGGGAAGAACAAAUGUGUAAGUAAAUAUGCACGUCUUGACGGUACCUAAUCAGAAAGCCACGGCUAACUACGUG
rnacentral:rRNA from 1 species